AUACUUACCUUGUGAGAGCGACCGCGAUCAAGAAGGCGGUUUGCUAUUCUGGAGACUCUCCAUUGCACAUCGGAGUAGUAGACAGGAUCCAAUAUCCUUCGGGGUUUUGGCUUGCGCAAUUUUUGUCUC
rnacentral:snRNA from 11 species